UUUUGUUCCAUUGAUACAUGAACACUCCUCCAAUGGGUCGCCGGACCUCCUAAUUGCCGCCGACGGCCCAAGAGGUUUCUCCACCGUGGAUGCAAUCAGUGAAGUACGCGAGUGUGGUUGCUCAUAUUCCGGCUCAGAUAAUGGCUGAUGAUAACAUUGGUGACGCGGAGUAGAAAAUUGAGAAUUUAGGUGGGAGAAGAAUUAAGAAACUAGGGUUUGUAGGAGAAAAGAGUCUG
rnacentral:lncRNA from 1 species